GCGCAGCGCGCCGUGCAGCGCGAGCAGGCGCGCCGAGAGGCCCGCGAGCGCGUGGCCCGCGAGCGCGAGCGCUACCUGCGCGCGCAGGCGUCGCGCGAGCUGCCCACCGAGGCGGAGCCCAUCGACUCGGACUCCGACGGCGCCGUGUGCUCGGGCGGGUCGGCGGCGUCGGGCGGCACGGCGCGCGCGUCGGGCGCGUCGCCCGCCUCGCCCGCUUCGCCCGC